rnacentral:pre_miRNA from 1 species
UUAGUACUCCCUCCGUUCCGAAUUACUUGUCUUAGAUUUGUCUAGAUACGGAUGUAUCUAGCACUAAAAUGAGUCUAAAUAUAUCUGUAUCUAGACAAAUCCAAGACAAGUAAUUCGGAAGGGAGGGAGUAAUAC